AGAUCCGAUCUUCGAACGACUCUCGGCAACGGAUAUCUCGGCUCUCGCAUCGAUGAAGAGCGUAGCGAAAUGCGAUACUUGGUGUGAAUUGCAGAAUCCCGUGAACCAUCGAGUUUUUGAACGCAAGUUGCGCCCCAAGCCUUCGGGUCGAGGGCACGCUUG
rnacentral:rRNA from 1 species